rnacentral:rRNA from 1 species
UACGUAGGGGGCAAGCGUUGUCCGGAAUCAUUGGGCGUAAAGCGCGCGUAGGCGGCCCGAUCAGUCCGUUGUAAAAGUCCAGGGCUCAACCCUGGAAAGCCGGUGGAUACUGUCGGGCUAGAGUCCGGAAGAGGCGAGUGGAAUUCCUGGUGUAGCGGUGGAAUGCGUAGAGAUCCGGAAGAACACCGGUGGCGAAGGCGGCCUGCUGGGCUAUGGCUGACACUGAGGCGCGACAGCGUGGGGAGCAAACAGG